GGGGUUGUGGCUCAGUGGUAGAGCACUUUCCUAGCAUGUGUGAAGCACUGGGUUCAAUUCUCAGCACCACA
rnacentral:tRNA from 1 species